UGUGUCAUGUGCCUAGUAGCCCGCAUAGGAACGAUAUUGGAAUCGGGAUCUCGCAUAUCAAGAAGCGGAGGAAAAAGAAACCCAACAGGGGAUUGCCCUAGUAACGGGCGAGUGAAGCGGCAACAGCUCAAAUUUGAAAUCUGGCGUCUUCGGCGUCCGAGUUGUAAUUUGCAGAGGGCGCUUUGGCAUUGGCAGCGGUCCAAGUUCCUUGGAACAGGACGUCACAGAGGGUGAGAAUCCCGUACGUGGUCGCUAGCCUUUACCGUGUAAAGCCCCUUCGACGAGUCGAGUUGUUUGGGAAUGCAGCUCUAAAUGGGAGGUAAAUUUCUUCUAAAGCUAAAUACUGGCCAGAGACCGAUAGCGCACAAGUAGAGUGAUCGAAAGAUGAAAAGCACUUUGGAAAGAGAGUUAAAAAGCACGUGAAAUUGUUGAAAGGGAAGCGCUUGCAGCCAGACUUGCCUGUAGUUGCUCAUCCGGGUUUCUACCCGGUGCACUCUUCUAUGGGCAGGCCAGCAUCAGUUUGGGCGGUUGGAUAAAGGUCUCUGUCAUGUACCUCUCUUCGGGGAGAACUUAUAGGGGAGACGUCAUGCAACCAGCCUGGACUGAGGUCCGCGCAUCUGCUAGGAUGCUGGCGUAAUGGCUGUAAGCGGCCCGUCUUGAAACACGGACCAAGGAGUCUAACAUCUAUGCGAGUGUUUGGGUGUCAAGCCCGAGCGCGUAAUGAAAGUGAACGGAGGUGGGAACCUUUCGGGGUGCACCAUCGACCGAUCCUGAUGUCUUCGGAUGGAUUUGAGUAAGAGCAUAGCUGUUGGGACCCGAAAGAUGGUGAACUAUGCUUGAAUAGGGUGAAGCCAGAGGAAACUCUGGUGGAGGCUCGCAGCGGUUCUGACGUGCAAAUCGAUCGUCAAAUUUGGGCAUAGGGGCGAAAGACUAAUCGAACUAUCUAGUAGCUGGAUUCCUGCCGAAGU
rnacentral:rRNA from 1 species